AUGGAAACGCUGAUAAAAAACUAUAAACCCGAGGACAAGAAACAAAAAAGGAAGAAUAAACGAGAAAGAGAAAACGAAAUACUAAAAAUGUUUAAGGAAGAAAGAGCGGCUUUGUUACAAAGCAUGAAGACAGCAAGAGAAGAACUAAAGAAGAACGAUAACACAAGCAAAGAGAAAACGGAGUCGGGGGGACCAGCCCCCCCGCCGUAUUCCAAUGGACAGUUUCCCAUGAUAACUGGACACAUGGAAAUUAAAGGGGUACUGGUGGUGACAGAAGAAAAGGAAGGGAUCACCUCACCUGGAGCAAUGUGUGCACCUUCACAUUCAACAGAAAGAGGAGAAAGGGAGACGUCAGAGCUGCAAACAAGAAGAGCGAAAGACCAAACGGAGGGGAACUCCAGGAAAAGCCAAAACACACUAGCAGAACGGGCAUCGGGUAAUAGUCCGAGCGAGGAAGAGGAGGAAGAGGAAGAGGAUGAUACAUCCUGUAGGGGACAAAUAGAGAGAGAAGGACAAAUAGUGGCACAAAGAAUAGAAGAGAAACUGGGACCGUCAAAAUCAACACACGGAGAAAACGUAAGAUUGCAAGAAAGACAGGAUGAGGCCUUGGCCCGUAGUAUGAAUGAGAGCCUGAGAAAUGAGCCUGCAGGGAAAUAUUGCAGGGCUCGUAGGGAAGGGUCUAGGAAAGAAUCGGGUUAUUAUGAAAAACAGCGGCAGAUCCUGAUAAAAGGAGAGCAAGGACACUAUAUACCAGGGGCUGCACAGGACAUGGAGGGGUUGGUUUUCCGCUUGCCAGAUCUCCAUGAGGGAGCAGGGAAGUGGAUCAGAACCUUUGAAGAAUACACCAUGGGGAAAUUGCUGGCGGUGGGUGACAUAAAGGCAUUGCUAGCGAGGGUGACGAGCGUGCAGAAAAUGAGAGAAAUCAUGCAGGAUGGUGCGAUCAACGGCACAGAUUGGGAGGUGACGAAGGAUGAACUGAUGUUCGACAGGUAUAGACCUGCCGUCUGGCGUGCAUUAAGGGCAGCAUACCCAACGAAGGUUGACCUCAACGCUCUGAGAGGUGAAGCUAUUGGAGCUACAGAAAACCCGGCCACGUACUUACAUGGACAUUUGGAAAGAUGGAGAAUGGAAACACAACAAGAUCCAGAAGGAAAUGAACUAAUGACAGCAAUGUUCCGAACUUCUGUGAUGGAAGCCAUGCCCCAGCCGGUAAGGAGCCGACUGGAGGAUGUGGUGGGGCUUACUUCAAAACCUUACAAAGAGUUCUGUGACUAUGUGAUUCAUGCCGUGGAAAAACACAGGAAGGACGAACAGAGACAGAUUGAACAAGGAAAAGACAUUCAGAGAAGGCUGGCCCAGUUGCAGCUGGACGAAUUAACCAACAAAGGAAAGAAGAAAGUCCAUGCCUCAGUAACCACCCCUGUGCCCGAGAUAGGAACAAUGUCUGCCGUUUCCCCAGGAGGGCCGCAACCGUCAACCCCCAGGCGGGCCCAAAUGCCUACCGUACUGCUAGUAGUAAAUGUAUACACACAGCCCCCUAAUUGGAAUGGUGGAAAUAAACAACAGAAAAAUACACAGGCAGAUCAGAGAAAGGGACCCAGGAACCUUAGGGGGGCACCUGGUGUCUGUUGGGGUUGCCACCAAUCAGGACACUCCAGACGAGAAUGCCCUACGAACCCCUGGCAGGAUCGGACUGGAGGAAACACAAAUAACAGGCGACCACCAACAAACAACAAUCCAGGUGGCUGGCAGCCGCAUACAAACGGGAAUCGGAGCGGUUGGAGCCCAAAUGGUGGAUGGCCGGGCAACCAAAGCCAACCUUCGGGCCCUGUGAACCCAUGGUCAGGGCCUAACCAAACAUACUAG
ensembl:lncRNA